rnacentral:rRNA from 1 species
AAAGCACUUGAUGGAUGUCUAGGUACUAAAAGAAAAGGACGUGAUAAAAAACGAAAAGUUACAAGUAGAUAAAGAUAUCUGUGAUUUGUAAAUUUCCUAAUAGGGAAACCUAAUAUUUUUUUAAUUAAAACUGAGCGAACUGAAACAUCUUAGUAGCUUAGGAAAGGAAAUCAAUAGAGACUCCGUUAGUAUUGGCGAGAGAAAGCGGAUAAGGCCAAAAUUAUAUAUGUAUAUAUUCCUAGAAAUAAACUGCAAUGUUUUGCUAUAAAGGGUGAUAGCCCCGUAUUCGAAUAUUAAAAUAAUUAUUGAGUAAAACGGGACACGUGUAAUCUUGUUUGAAUUUAGGGGGACCAUCCUCUAAGCCUAAGUACUUUUAGUAACCGAUAGUGAAUCAGUACCGUAAGGGAAAGAUAAUAUUUAUUUCGAUAAUAUAAAUCCUGAAAUUGAGUGUUUACAAACAAUUGAAGCUUUUAAAAGCAACAAUGUACCUUUUGCAUAAUGAGCCAGUGACUUAAUUUAAAUAGCAAGCUUAAAUUUACAAAAAAUGAAGGCGUAGUGAAAGCAAAUUUUAAUAGAGUAUUAAGUUAUUUAAAUUAGACCCGAAACCAGGUGAUCUAUCCAUGAGCAGGUUGAAGAUACGGUAACACGUGUUGGAGGACCGAACCCGUACAUGUAGAAAAAUGUUGGGAUGACUUGUGGUUAGGGGUGAAAGGCCAAUCAAACUUGGAGAUAGCUGGUUUUCCACGAAAUCUAUUUAGGUAGAGCAUCAUAAUUAUUUUCUUUUGGGGUAGAGCUCUAUUAGAAUGCGGGGGGCCCAAAGCCUUACUAAAUUUUGAUAAACUACGAAUACAAAAUGAAAAAAUAUGAUAGACAGACUAUGACUGCUAAGAGCCAUCAGUCAAAAGGGAAAUAGCCCAGAUCGUAAGCUAAGGUCCUUAAAUUAUAACUUAGUGAUAAAGGAAGUUAAAUAACCAUGACAGCCAGGAGGUGGGCUUGGAAGCAGCCAUCCUUUGAAGAAAGCGUAAUAGCUCACUGGUCUAAAUAUUAAGUUAUUUUGCGCCGAAAAUGUAUCGGGACUUAAGUUAUAUACCGAAGCGACGAACUCAAAUAUAUUGAGUGGUAGUGGAACGUUCUGUAUAUCGUUGAAGAAAUAUUGAAAAAUAUUUUGGAGAAAUCAGAAUUGAAAAUGCUGGCAUGAGUAACGACAAAUACUAUUAUGAAAUAGUAUCGCCGAAAGUUCAAGGUUUCAUGGGCCAGGAUAAACCUCCCAUGGUAAGCCGGUCCCUAAGAUAAUGGCGAAAGCCUACAUCGAUGGGAAUUUAAAUUUAUUUUAAAGCCAAUUAAUAGUGACUGUUUAAAAUAUUUUUUAGUGAAAUUGACUAAUUCUAAAAAAUUAAGUUAGAUACAAGAAAUAGCUAUUAUAAUUAAAGACCGUACUUCAAACCGACACAGGUGAACUGGUAGAGUAUACUAAGGCGCUUGAGAGAAUCAUGUUAAAGGAACUCGGCAAAAUUAUCUCGUAACUUAGGGAGAAGAGAUGACGUAUUUAUACGUCGGCACAGAAUCGGGGGUAGCGACUGUUUAUUAAAAACACAGGACUCUGCNAAGUUGUAAAAUGAUGUAUAGGGUCUGACACCUGCCCGGUGCUGGAAGGUUAAGAGGAGAAGUUAACGCUUUAAAUUGAAGCCCCAGUAAACGGCGGCGGUAACUCUAACCGUCCUAAGGUAGCGAAAUUCCUUGUCACCUAAUUAGUGACCUGCAUGAAUGGUGUAACGACUUCCCCACUGUCUCUAACAUGAACUCAGUGAAAUUGAAUUCUCCGUGAAGAUGCGGAGUACCCAUAGGUAGACGGAAAGACCCCGUGCACCUUUACUACAGCUUUAUAUUGCUAGGGGGAUUUAAAUGUGUAGGAUAAGUGGGAGCUUAUGAAGCAAUGACGCCAGUUAUUGUGGAAGCAAUCUUGAAAUACCACUCUUUUAAAUCUCUAUAGCUAAUCAAAAUUUUGAAACAGUGUAUGGUUGGUAGUUUGACUGGGGCGGUCGCCUCCGAAAGAGUAACGGAGGCGUGCGAAGGUAGGCUCAAGUUGGACGGAAAUCAACUUUAGAGCGCAAUGGUAUAAGCCUGCCUGACUGUGAGACCAACAAGUCGAACAGGGACGUAAGUCGGCCAUAGUGAUCCGGUGGUUCCGAAUGGAAGGGCCAUCGCUCAACGGAUAAAAGGUACGCCGGGGAUAACAGGCUGAUGAUUCCCAAGA